rnacentral:rRNA from 1 species
UACAGAGGGUGCGAGCGUUAAUCGGAGUUACUGGGCGUAAAGGGCGCGUAGGCGGUUAGUUAAGAUUGAUGUGAAAUCCCUGGGCUUAACCUAGGAACUGCAUUGAUUACUGGCUAGCUAGAGUACUGUAGAGGGUAGUGGAAUUUCCGGUGUAGCGGUGAAAUGCGUAGAUAUCUGGAGGAACACCGGUGGCGAAGGCGGCAUCCUGGACCAUUACUGACGCUGAGUGAGCGAAAGCCAGGGGAGCAAACGGG